AGCCGAUUAAGACUGACCAAUAUUCUUUUUUGAUGUGGCUGGUUCAUGUCCUUGAUUGCAUAGAAUAUCCAACGUUUCUUCCGUUCCAGAUUUUCUAAUGGGCUCCUUCUGGCUGUAGCUCAGGAAUUAAAUAUUUUAGGUUGUAUGUUUUACCUCAGGAAUUGAAUAUUUUGGAGCUCGAGAGAUCAACAAGAAGUUCAGAGUCAAGAUUCUUGAUAACAACAUGCCUGAAAAUUCUACCUCAACAAAUAGGUGUAGCAGUGCACUUAUCUCUUCCUCUGCCCAACAACGGCAAAGAAGCCGUCCAAGGUCUUGCCCUCCCUGUCUCAAGGGAAGAGCUGAUACCGGGCGAGGACAACAAUGCCGGCUGCUGAUACCUCAAAGACAGAAGAACACCCGCAGCACCUAUCUUACCAUGCUAUCCACUAAUUAAUUAACAAUGUAUAUUAGUACCACUAGCUAAUCGACAAACUAUGUACUGGAGUACUAUGUAUUAAGCAACAAUGCAAGAUAUUACCAGUAACUAA